CCUACGGGAGGCAGCAGUGAGGAAUAUUGGUCAAUGGACGGAAGUCUGAACCAGCCAAGUAGCGUGCAGGAUGACGGCCCUAUGGGUUGUAAACUGCUUUUGUAUGGGGAUAAAGUCAAUCACGUGUGAUUGUUUGCAGGUACCAUACGAAUAAGGACCGGCUAAUUCCGUGCCAGCAGCCGCGGUAAUACGGAAGGUCCAGGCGUUAUCCGGAUUUAUUGGGUUUAAAGGGAGCGUAGGCCGGAGAUUAAGUGUGUUGUGAAAUGUAGACGCUCAACGUCUGACUUGCAGCGCAUACUGGUUUCCUUGAGUACGCACAACGUUGGCGGAAUUCGUCGUGUAGCGGUGAAAUGCUUAGAUAUGACGAAGAACUCCGAUUGCGAAGGCAGCUGACGGGAGCGCAACUGACGCUUAAGCUCGAAGGUGCGGGUAUCGAACAGGAUUAGAUACCCUGGUAGUCCGCACAGUAAACGAUGGAUGCCCGCUGUUGGUACCUGGUAUCAGCGGCUAAGCGAAAGCAUUAAGCACUCCGCCUGGGGAGUACGACCGCAAGGUUGAAACUCAAAGGAAUUGACGG
rnacentral:rRNA from 1 species